UGCCAGCAGCCGCGGUAACACGUAGGGAGCAAGCGUUGUCCGGAUUUAUUGGGCGUAAAGAGCUCGUAGGCGGUUUUGUAAGUCGGAUGUGAAAACUCAGGGCUCAACCCUGAGACGCCAUCCGAUACUGCAAUGACUAGAGUCCGGUAGGGGAGCAUGGAAUUCCUGGUGUAGCGGUGGAAUGCGCAGGUAUCAGGAGGAACACCAGUGGCGAAGGCGGUGCUCUGGGCCGGUACUGACGCUGAGGAGCGAAAGCGUGGGGAGCGAACGGGAUUAGAUA
rnacentral:rRNA from 1 species